rnacentral:rRNA from 1 species
UACGGGGGGUGCGAGCGUUAAUCGGAAUUACUGGGCGUAAAGGGUUCGUAGGUGGUAUGUUAAGUCAGAUGUGAAAGCCCAGGGCUCAACCUUGGAACUGUUAUAUCUGGCAAACUAGAGUAUGGUAGAGGAAUGGGGAAUUUCCGGUGUAGCGGUGAAAUGCGUAGAGAUCGGAAGGAACACCAAUGGCGAAGGCAACAUUCUGGACCAAUACUGACACUGAGGGACGAAAGCGUGGGGAUCAAACAGG